rfam:Cavia porcellus supercont2_8 genomic scaffold, whole genome shotgun sequence.
GGGAAUUUAGCUCAGUGGCAUAAGCGCCUGCCUUGCAAGCAGGCAAUCAUGAAUUGAAUCCCUG